GAUGAACGCUGGCGGCGUGCUUAACACAUGCAAGUCGAACGAAGCACUUUAUUUGAUUUCCUUCGGGACUGAUUAUUUUGUGACUGAGUGGCGGACGGGUGAGUAACGCGUGGGUAACCUGCCUUGUACAGGGGGAUAACAGUUGGAAACGGCUGCUAAUACCGCAUAAGCGCACAGCAUCGCAUGAUGCAGUGUGAAAAACUCCGGUGGUAUAAGAUGGACCCGCGUUGGAUUAGCUAGUUGGUGAGGUAACGGCCCACCAAGGCGACGAUCCAUAGCCGACCUGAGAGGGUGACCGGCCACAUUGGGACUGAGACACGGCCCAAACUCCUACGGGAGGCAGCAGUGGGGAAUAUUGCACAAUGGGCGAAAGCCUGAUGCAGCGACGCCGCGUGAGCGAAGAAGUAUUUCGGUAUGUAAAGCUCUAUCAGCAGGGAAGAUAAUGACGGUACCUGACUAAGAAGCACCGGCUAAAUACGUGCCAGCAGCCGCGGUAAUACGUAUGGUGCAAGCGUUAUCCGGAUUUACUGGGUGUAAAGGGAGCGCAGGCGGUGCGGCAAGUCUGAUGUGAAAGCCCGGGGCUCAACCCCGGUACUGCAUUGGAAACUGUCGUACUAGAGUGUCGGAGGGGUAAGCGGAAUUCCUAGUGUAGCGGUGAAAUGCGUAGAUAUUAGGAGGAACACCAGUGGCGAAGGCGGCUUACUGGACGAUAACUGACGCUGAGGCUCGAAAGCGUGGGGAGCAAACAGGAUUAGAUACCCUGGUAGUCCACGCCGUAAACGAGAAUUAUUAGGUGUGGGGAGGCAUUGUUUUUCGGUGCCGUCGCAAACCCAGAAAUAAUUCCCCCUGGGGAGACGGUUCGCAAGAAGGAAACUCAAAGAAAUGGACGGGGACCCCCCCAACCGGGGGAGCAUGUGGUUUAAUUUGAAGCAACGCGAGGAACCUUCCCAAGUCUUGACAUCCUUCUGACCGGUACUUAACCGUCCCUUUUUUUCGGAGCAGGAGGGACAGGUGGUGCAUGGUUGUCGUCAGCUCGUGUCGUGAGAUGUUGGGUUAAGUCCCGCAACGAGCGCAACCCUCAUCUUUAGUAGCCAGCGGUUCGGCUGGGCACUCUAGAGAGACUGCCAGGGAUAACCUGGAGGAAGGCGGGGAGGACGUCAAAUCAUCAUGCCCCUUAUGACUUGGGCUACACACGUGCUACAAUGGCGUAAACAAAGGGAAGCAAAGCUGUGAAGCCGAGCAAAUCUCAAAAAUAAUGUCUCAGUUCGGACUGUAGUCUGCAACCCGACUACACGAAGCUGGAAUCGCUAGUAAUCGCAGAUCAGAAUGCUGCGGUGAAUACGUUCCCGGGUCUUGCAC
rnacentral:rRNA from 1 species